rnacentral:rRNA from 1 species
UAACGCGUGGGCAACCUGCCCCAUAGAGGGGGACAACAGCUGGAAACGGCUGCUAAUACCGCAUAACAAGGAGAGAGCGCAUGUUCUUUUCUUCAAAGAUUUAUCGCUAUGGGAUGGACCCGCGUCUGAUUAGCUAGUUGGUGAGAUAACAGCCCACCAAGGCGACGAUCAGUAGCCGACCUGAGAGGGUGACCGGCCACAUUGGGACUGAGACACGGCCCAAACUCCUACGGGAGGCAGCAG